UUGUUGGUAAGGUAAAAGCUUACCAAGGCUUCGAUCAGUAGCUGGUCUGAGAGGACGACCAGCCACACUGGGACUGAGACACGGCCCAGACUCCUACGGGAGGCAGCAGUGGGGAAUUUUGGACAAUGGGGGCAACCCUGAUCCAGCCAUGCCGCGUGAGUGAAGAAGGCCUUCGGGUUGUAAAGCUCUUUCAGCCGGAACGAAACGGUUACGGAUAACACCCGUGACUACUGACGGUACCGGAAGAAGAAGCACCGGCUAACUACGUGCCAGCAGCCGCGGUAAUACGUAGGGUGCGAGCGUUAAUCGGAAUUACUGGGCGUAAAGCGUGCGCAGGUGGUUUUGUAAGUCAGAUGUGAAAGCCCCGGGCUCAACCUGGGAACUGCGUUUGAAACUACAAGACUAGAGUGUGGCAGAGGAGGGUGGAAUUCCGCGUGUAGCAGUGAAAUGCGUAGAGAUGUGGAGGAACACCGAUGGCGAAGGCAGCCCCCUGGGUCAACACUGACGCUCAGGCACGAAAGCAUGGGGAGCAAACAGGAUUAGAUACCCUGGUAGUCCAUGCCCUAAACGAUGUCAACUAGUUGUCGGGCCUUUACGGGCUUGGUAACGUAGCUAACGCGUGAAGUUGACCGCCUGGGGAGUACGAUCGCAAGAUUAAAACUCAAAUGAAUUGACGGGGACCCGCACAAGCGGUGGAUUAUGUGGAUUAAUUCGAUGCAACGCGAAAAACCUUACCUACCCUUGACAUGUAUCGAAGCCCGCAGAAAAGCGGGGGUGCCCGAAAGGGAACGAUAACACAGGUGCUGCAUGGCUGUCGUCAGCUCGUGUCGUGAGAUGUUGGGUUAAGUCCCGCAACGAGCGCAACCCUUGUCAUUAAUUGCCAUCAUUUAGUUGGGCACUUUAAUGAGACUGCCGG
rnacentral:rRNA from 1 species